AAAGAGACCUAGUACAAGGCAAAAGGAAACUAAAGCCAAGUACAAAUUAAAAGGUCACCUACAGGCAAAAGUAAGAAAUCUCUCAAACUAGACUAGGUUCGGGAAUGGGCUAUUAGCUCAGUUGGUUAGAGCGCACCCCUGAUAAGGGUGAGGUCUCUGGUUCAAAUCCAGAAUGGCCCAUCUAACCCCAACCGAAGUGGGGGUAUAGCUCAGUUGGUAGAGCGCCUGCUUUGCAAGCAGGAUGUCAGCGGUUCGAGUCCGCUUAUCUCCACUACCGAGAAACACAGCACCAGCCAAAAAAAAGCUGAAUGCUGGAGUCAUCUCCAGUAUCGCACCUUGAAAACUGCAUAAACAAAACAACAACCAAGAUGUAGGUGAAACUAUUGAUAGAGCGAAAGCAAAAUUAAUAAAAGUAGCAGACAAAAAAAUCAAGCCAAAGAAACAAGU
rnacentral:tRNA from 1 species